rnacentral:rRNA from 1 species
AGGACGAACGCUGGCGGCGUGCCUAAUACAUGCAAGUCGAACGCGCUCCAUUCGGUAGCAAUACUGAUGAAGAGCGAGUGGCGAACGGGUGAGUAGCACGUGAGCAACCUGCCCCGAAGACUGGGACAACACCGGGAAACCGGUGCUAAUACCGGAUAUCCCUAUCGGACCGCAUGAUCUGAUAAGGAAAUGGAUUCCGCUUCGGGAGGGGCUCGCGGCCUAUCAGCUAGUUGGUGAGGUAAUAGCUCACCAAGGCAUCGACGGGUAGCUGGUCUGAGAGGACGAUCAGCCACACUGGGACUGAGACACGGCCCAGACUCCUACGGGAGGCAGCAGUGGGGAAUCUUGCGCAAUGGGCGAAAGCCUGACGCAGCAACGCCGCGUGGAGGACGAAGGCUUUCUGAGUUGUAAACUCCUUUCAGCAGGGACGAUUGUGACGGUACCUGCAGAGAAGCACCGGCCAACUACGUGCCAGCA